rnacentral:rRNA from 1 species
UGCAAGUCGAGCGGUAAGGCCCUUUCGGGGGUACACGAGCGGCGAACGGGUGAGUAACACGUGGGUGACCUGCCUUCAGCUCUGGGAUAAGCCUGGGAAACUGGGUCUAAUACCGGAUAUGAUUCCAUGAUGCAUGUUGUGGGGUGGAAAGCUUUUGCGGCUGGAGAUGGGCCCGCGGCCUAUCAGCUUGUUGGUGGGGUGAUGGCCUACCAAGGCGACGACGGGUAGCCGGCCUGAGAGGGCGACCGGCCACACUGGGACUGAGACACGGCCCAGACUCCUACGGGAGGCAGCAGUGGGGAAUCUUGCGCAAUGGGCGAAAGCCUGACGCAGCGACGCCGCGUGGGGGAUGACGGCCUUCGGGUUGUAAACCUCUUUCAGCCCUGACGAAGCGAAAGUGACGGUAGGGGCAGAAGAAGCCCCGGCCAACUACGUGCCAGCAGCCGCGGUGAUACGUAGGGGGCGAGCGUUGUCCGGAUUCAUUGGGCGUAAAGAGCUCGUAGGCGGUUCGGUUAGUCAGACGUGAAAACUCCGGGCUCAACUCCGAGAGGGCAUCUGAUACUGCCAUGACUGAAUUUCGGUAGAGAAAUGGGGAAUUCUCGGUGUACCGGUGAAAUGCCCAAAUAUCGGAAGAAACACCAUCGCCAAAGGCGGUCUCCGGGGCCAAUACUGACCCUAAGGAGCAAAGCCUUGGGAACCGAACGGAAUUAGAUACCCUGGUAGUCCACCCCUCAACCUAUGAAUACUAGGGGUCGGAUGGGUUACCCCCGGUGCCUGAGCUAACUCAUUCAGUAUUCGGCCCGGCAAGUACGGCCGGACGGAAGAAACUCACUUGAAUUGACUGAC